rnacentral:pre_miRNA from 1 species
CUGGAGGAGUUUUUCCAGUCAGGCUUCUGGCUAAAAUAAACUCCAGCUCUUAGCUGGAUUUAGCCAAAGCCUGACUGUAAACAACCCAAA